GCGCGGGGGAGAGGGGCUGCGCGGCGCGGCGGCGGUUGGGGCUGCCCGGCCGGGGCCCCGCGCGCCGAGCGGAGCUGGAGUGGGGCGGCCGCGGCCUCCGUGAGGCGGCGGUGAGGAAGGUGCUGGAAGCGCCUCAGAGCUUCCGAGGCCAAAACCCGGGGCAGAAAUUAAGAGAGAAGCCGCCGGGCGCGGCGUGCGGAGGGAGCCUGCCGCGGAGGAGGGAGCGUGGCCGCUUCGCGGGGGGGUCGCUGCUGCGGCCGCGGCUGGCGUUAAGGAGAAGGUACUCGGUAACGCCGGGCACCGCCCGGGCGUGUCGGACACCGCCCGAGUUAGCCGCCAGGGCUUGGGGGCACCAGAGGCAGCUUCUGGCCGCUAACUGACGAGUGUGCCAUGUCUUGUUACAAUCUGAUCGCUCAUCGUGUUCGCUGUGUAAGGUGGCCGCCCAAAUGCUGACAGGUAGCAGCGCGAAACAACUGGUGCUGGCGCUGGGCAGCACCGCGUGUCCCGAAAAUAAGGCAUCGAGGGCGGCGUGCUCGGUGUUGUGUUCGUUGUUGGCCGUGCAGAACACAUUUAUCUGCGAACAGAAUCAAGGAAAUGGAAGCAUUCAAAUCUGCAUCUGCAAAGUAGGAAAUAUCGUCAUCUAAAACUUUUGAUCCGUGACUAAUUUAGGAUAUUAGUUUAAGCUUUGUCUUCAACUGUAAGUUGCAAUCCGUUCCUGGAGAUGAAGCAAUGUAGUUCACGUUUUCAGAAAAAUUAUGCUAAUAAAAGCAAAAGGGUUCUUUUUAAUAAAAUCAAGAGGUUCUUUUCUUUAUUCUUCAUACCAAUUUACUGAAAUCGAUGUAUCAGUAAGUUUUUUUUACCUGCUAUAGCAGAAGCUUCAAGAACAGAAAAUGUGCAAAUAUAGUAAAUGACAACAUGCUAAAGGCUGAGUUAGCUUUCCACUGAUUAGCCUUGCUUAGCAAAAGGAGAAGAAAAAAAAGCGAGGGCGGGUCAUUGCCAUUAGGGAGUUGCAGAUAGUUGCAGCAGCCUCACCAUAACACCUCAAAAGAAUCUUUGCUGCAGCAGUUCGUGGUGGUAUUUCUCUCUCUGCCAGAGAUUACAGCCACUGCAGAAGAAAUGGCAGAAAGGAAUGUUUUUUAGUGCCUCAGUUAGUUCCCAGCAAAAAACCAGUUGCUGAGGUUAGGGGGAUAGUGAAAUUUCAGCUCAAGUAUUCUGUGAGGAUAGCUUCAUGCUAAGGUUUCUGUAUAAUUACGAACAAUAAAUUAUUUUUCUUUGUAUUAUUUGUAUUUUUUAACAUAUCCCAGGAAAUUAGAAAACUCAAGACUUGUCUUAGGGAAACUGCCUUUCUGAUUACCUUUACCUUACCUUACUUUUCUGAUAACGGGGAACUUUUCUAAACAGGUUGCCCAGAGAAGCUGUGGAUGCCCCAUCCCUGGAGGCGUUCAGGGCCAGGCUGGAUGGGGCCCUGGGCAACCUGAUCUAGUGGCAGGUGUCCCUGCCUAUGGCAGGGGGGUUGGAACUGUGUGAUCUCUAAGAUCCCUUCCAACCCGAGCUAUUCUAUGAUUUUAUGAUUGUAUGAUAAUGUUGACUGCUGGUUUGGUGGACUGUGUUCACCCCAAAAAGCAAUGAGAAAAAGCAUGCUGCUCCGAACUUUAAUGGAAGAGUUCAAAGGUGGAAAUGGGAUGAAGGCAAGAUAAUUCAGCUUUGCAGUGAGUUCAGUUUGUUGAGAUCAUCAUCACGUGGGGACAUGUCUUAUGACCUCCAUGAGUUUGCUGUGGUAAGGUGGAAAUGUCUGAUGUUUUACAUCAAGUUAAUUCAUGUGUCUGAGUUACCCCAGAUUAAAAGAAAUAGCCUUUUUGGUGGUUUUCUUGCUUGUUUGGUUAAGGAGUCAAGGCAAAUGCUGUGAUGAGGUAAAUCAGUGAUGUAAGAAACCAUGGAAAGCGUCGGUUUUACGUGUGCUCUCUGCAAAAAUCUUCUCAUGUCCUAGCCAUUGUGCAUUGAAAAUUAUUUCUUGAAGCAUGUGAAUCCUGAAGGGAAGGAUAUUCUACUUUACCCAUCUAUUGAUCUGUGGUAUGUAAUACUACGAGUGUGACAGAUUCCAUUAGAAUGGUGCAUCCUGGCAACAAAGCAAUUGAUUAGAUCUAGUUAGAAGUUUUCCUUCUCAUAUGGAAGAUGCUGUGGUUCCCUAAUUUAAAAGUAUAAUUUCAAUUCUAAAAUAACUUUCACGAAUGUGCUUGGUACUUUGCCCUUUUUCUCUCUCUCUUUUUUUUUUUUUUUUGGUUUGGUUUGUUUGUUUCUUUGUUUUGUGUUUUUCAGUGUUAUUGUUUGUUUUGUUUGUUUUUCCUGGACACAAGUGUUCAUCAAGCUUUCCUCAUAUUUUAAAAGAGAGAGAGUCUCUUUCAAAGCAUCUUCAUCAACUUUAAACUCUCCAGGUAUAUUUCUAAGAGUGUGAUGUCCAAAAGAUAAUAUUAAGCUGAGAUCUUCUCAGGUCUAAAUGGAAGGGAAUAAUUAAUGUCCUUUGUCUAAGGAGUGUUUCUGAAUGCAUUCCAAAACAAUAUAUUUGUGUGUGAGAAAGGUGAAGUGACUUGCAGUGAUACUCCAUUUAUGUUCCUGUUUUGUAGCCCACAAAUUUCCAGAGUUUGGUCUUGUUUCUUGUUCUAAGGGAGAGGAGAAGCAAAUGUUAGUGUUGAUCUUGCUUCUUUCCUUGCUUUUUCUUCAGGUCAACAUUUUUCUUCCUAACCAGGUAGGCCCAGCUUUGCAUUUGUGUUUCACAAGAGUAUUACCUCAUGCCUGAUUUUAUUGAACUCUUCUAGUUUCUCUCCAGGUAGGAAAGUCUAUUUUAUAUACAAAAGUCUAUUCUCUAUCAAAUAUUAGAAUGUUAAUCUGAGAUUCCCUCCUACCUCAGGGUGGAACUUUUGAGACAAGUCCAAGAACUUCUGAUGAGUCUUUGUAUCUCAAAAUGCAUUUUACCAAAAAUCAACCCAGUGGGUAUGGCAAUAAAAGAAACUCAAACAGAAAAUGGGACAGAAGGUUAAGGAGGGAAGUUGAGAGAAUUGCUUCAGUAUUUUGGUAAUUAUAUUUACAACACACAAGGGCAGUUUUGUCAUAUGUAGUGUGAAAACGAUUUCCCUGUGUCAGUGGCAGCUACAUGCUCAGUUAUUCACAAACUGAUUAGACAGUCCAAAGGCAAAAAACAGACCUGGGAUGUGCAAGCUGUGCGACUAUUUAGCAAGAUACAGGCUUAAGGUUGUUCUGUUCAUGCUCAUUUAUGAGCUCAUUUUCAACAUCUAUAGAUAAGCAGGAUCCAAAAUGCUUUUAUUUUAUAUUUAUACUUGUUCCUCAGUAUAUUAGUUGCAUGAAAAUGAAAUAUGGCUGCUUGAUAAAGAAGGUAUAUGAUAAAAGACACAUAGCUGGAUUUGAGCUAGAAUAUACUGGCCUUAUCAACAUAUGGACUUUUCCUAAUUUAGUGUUCAGACUCAGGUUAGGGUGGGAAAAUAAUUUGUUUCUGUUUAGCUGUAGUCAGUUGGUCUUAAAGACAAAAUAAAUCAUUCUCUGUGGAACCACAUACAGGGCACCCAUAAAUGAAAGCAGCUGAAUCCAGAAAGGGACAUCCAUGCAUAAAUAAGAAUUCAUAGAAGGGAUUAUUAAGUCAUUUAGGUCUCCUGAAAAUCAUAUAUUUUAGUUAAGUCAGCGACAUUAAAAAGAUCUGUGGGGUGAUUUAAGAAAACUUAAUGAAUUGGUCAACUGUUCAUGUGUUCCCAAUGGGUCACAGGUAGAUUCUCCUACCUUACCUUGCAUAGGUUUUGUAUUCGUUGCUGCGUGACUUUGCCUGAUGUCUCUGAGAAUUAUAGACUGUUUAUCCUUUACCAUCGCCUUCAGUGGACAGUUUGCUUGUUAAACUAGAAUUUGUGAAGUGCUAUUUUAUUACAAGACAUUUUAAUCUCCCUGAGUUACUUACUUGUGUAAGUCAUUGUGAUGUGCUUGGAAAAGUCAAGGUGGGAUAGUGACAGUGAUACUUACUGUGCAACUUGUCUCAUGCAACAAGCAUUAAGUGAUACAGCUGAGAGAGCAGUUAGCUGAACAGUUAGUUCUCAAAAAGGCUGUAGCUACACAUUGUCUUCCUACUUUGGAAAAUGUUGCAUUUAUUAAUUCCAGGAACUACAUAUAAAUACAGAAAAGGCUGGAAGUGAGACUCAGCAUGAGACUCAGCAGUGAGAACACUCAGAGACUCAAAUGAGACUGUACUUGAAGCUUUGCUAGAUACCUCCUGUGAGAAACUACUAGGCUCUUCUAAGUUCCAGUAGGCACAAAUACUGCUCUCUGUUGUUUUCCACAGCUCUGACACAAAUUCUAGUUGAUGCAUACAAAAUAGUUUAAUAUAGUACUACUUCAUUGACUAGCUUUCUUUCCCCACUACCAUCAGCCCCAUUACCAGCACUUGGUGUAGAGUCAGGAAUGAAGAGCAUGUUCCUGGAGUUGGCCUGCUCAGGUCUUAAAUGUUUGUGAACAAGAGCGACUGGCAGAGUCUUGACCCUGCUGUCCUAAUGUAGCCUGCAAUAGCUGAGGUGUGGACAUGACACUGCUUUUGAGCCAAAGCAGUGAAGUGGUGAUUUCUGACAUGGGGCAUUGUGCAUGCGUAGGGGUGUGGAGCAGGAUGCAUAUGUCAUACAAAGAUAUGGAAGAGGAGCUUUUUCUGAGGAUUGGUUAGGGAUUUGUCUGCCUGCAGGUGGACUUAAAUAGGUUCCCAGCUGCGGAAGUGUAGCAUAGAAGUGGAUGUGUAUGCCAAAAAAAAGAAAAUGAGUAGACAUGCAAGUUUCAGAGGUAAAAAUUUGCUUUAAAAGAACAUGAAAGGGUGGUAGUGUUGCCUGACCUAAAAGAGAAAAAAAGUCUAUUACUGCCCAUUCUACAAAGUCACCCUGCACUUUUGUUGAAUUGAAAAUAUACAGAGACUUUACAUCACAGUGGCCGGGACACUAUUGUCCUGGCUGGCAAUAGGCAGAACAGCCUGUGUUAGUAAUGUCUUUAACUGCUGCAGCAGCUUUAUGCAAUGCUUGUGAGUCAGAGCCCUACAUCUCUUUCUGAGCACUCUGUAACCCUCAAGUAGAAUGUGAGAGAACAUUAUCACAUUCAAAACAUUGUUUAUGGUCCACCUGUUUCAUUUGUAAGACAUAAGAGCCUCUGUCAGUUAAAAACUGUUAACCAUCUCAAACCCAGCCUCGAGCUUUGUUUCAAAGACAGAAAAACAUCCAAUCUAUGUUUUAAUGAAAAACUGUUAAUAGAGUUACACUUGAUUUUUUAACUUUUUUUUUUUUUUUUUUUGUGCUUUUUCUAUGUGUGUGAGUAAAGGAGCAGAACUGGAUACUUACUUUGAACCACUGAAGAUAACCCAUUUCUGAGAAAUAUACGCAGGAGUUAUGUUCUGGUAACAGGCUGAUUACAUGUAGUUUUCAAACAUUCUAUUAGAAUCUGUCAAGAAACUGAAUGGAUUUUUUUUUCACUUCCUUUACUUUCUAUACAACUGAUGUGGUUAGGCAACUCUUCUUAAUUUCUGACAGUUCUUCCACUACCUAAAAAUAAGUAGGACUCCUCUGUCCACUGGCUUUAAUGAGUAUUUUUUUCUUCUAUACAAUGUACAUGGAUCAACCUGCUAUGAGCAAUAAUCUAAGAACUGUAAAUGGGAGGCCCCUCCCAAGGGAAGAAAAAAAUCAGGGAAAAAUUUUGUUAUCAUUUGUUAUCUGAGGUGGUUUUCAGGGUCAUGAAGACUUUUAGAGGACAUUAAAGUAUUUGAAAGCUAUUACUGUAAGAAAUUGAAAAGGAGGCCAAGAAAUCUUGACAUAAUAAUACUUAGGAAAAAAUAGGUAGGUAUUAAACCUUAGGAUUAAUUCGUUCAGUCUAGAAGAUGACAGUAUCAAUGAAAAUAGACCAUCAGGCGACAGCUGGUUUGUACUAGAAAGAUGCUUGUCACUCAGAGAAUUAAAUCUAGUGGACUUCCUAAUUUCAGUCAGUAUAAAGGGGUGCGUUUAAAUGCAUCAUCUCUGGUUAGAAGCUUUCAAAAGCAGAAUGAUUCCACUUCAGGGAGGUUGAUGAGCUAGGUGAGCUUAAGCUCCUUGGUUACUAAGAGCCUUCUAUUGGUAUUUUAGAGGAUAAAACUGUAGAUGUGUCAUUAUUAUGUUGUCAAUAAUGUCCACAAUUUUGUUAAUGGUUACCUGUAUUAUUUACUGGCCUUUUGUUUUACCUGCUAUUUAGCAAGAUAAAUGGAUUUUUCUAGGGAUGUCAGACACACAUUCCUCUACCACAGUAUUGACACCAUUCAUUCUGAUACAUGCUCAUGAUAAAAAUAAGAACUAUAGUUGUGCACCUUUUGCCUCUCUUGCCAUCUGCCUCUUGACUGGGCUUGGUACUAUGAAAAAUCAUCAAUCAGAAAGGUUGGAAUCUGGCAGCUCACAGAAGCAACUAAUUUUUGAUGAACAAGUAAGGCUAUGGUAGAAACGUGUGCUAAGUUUCAGCUCAUGCAUAUUAGCAGCAUUUAAUGAUCUACGCUACGAAGAGUGAUAUAUAGACAGAUAAGCAGCACAGGCGUGUAAUUGUAUGAAACUUCAUGAUUAUGCUUUUUGGAAAGCUUCUUAGUAAGUUAGAGAACCUGCAUUUUGCCAGUGAACUUCUGAACUUUUGCUAAUAAGACUGGUUCUGGACCCUGAGAAUAAUUACCAAGGAAGAAGACAAAUUUAUGAGUGGGUAAAUACAAGCAGUCUGAGGUAGAAGAGUGAUAAGACAACUGUCCCCGCAGUAACAAAAGAAAUAAGAUCACAUUUAAAAGAUAAGUGGAAACUAGUACGAGGCUGUUGUGUAAAAGAGUCCCAGGAACAAGGAAACUGAAGUAGUACCAUUUACAAAAAAUAUGCUAAUACAGCUCUACUCGUAAGGGAAGUAAUAAGAAAAUAAAGAAGUCUAGUGACAGUGUAAUUGGAGAUGCAGUUACAUAGAGCCUGAAAGAGGCAUAAAAAGACAUGGAAAUCUCUAGAAAUCUCUUGCAAAUCAAUCAUUAUCCUGCACCGCAAUAAAGAAGUAGAGCUAUAUUGUUUGUACUUAAAACUUUAAAAAAGGUGGCUGGGGUUGAGGAGAGGAGGAGGGAGGGAGUGGUGCAUUAUUGUAUAUUAAUAAAUUCAGAUUUAUGAUCAUAACCUUCUCCUCCCACUUGAUGGACAGUGAUCAGAAGAAGUUAUUACAACAGGAGUAACUGAUGUAAGUUGUGGCUACAGAUAGCUCUUUCAGUUGGUCUUCCUGCAUCACUCGUGCUACAGAAAGCUACUGUCCUGCGUACAGCAGGCUGCUCAGAAGGGACUAAGCUUGCCACCUCUUUUGUCUUUGUGUGGCAUAGCUGGAAGAAAAGGACUCACUACUUGUGUUGUUAAUAUUUGUUUCUGCUGCUGCCUUGCAUCUCUCAACUUCUUUCUCAGCUGCCAAGCUUAUGCAAGUAGGAAGUAAAAACUGACUCUUCUGGUUGUAGAGGCUGCUGAGGCAGCUGAUUAUUGUCAUCUUAGUGCAGGCAAAGCAGGUAGUCUACUGUUCUAAGUUGCUGCCUAUUGUGUCUGAGCCAAAAGGUUGUCCCUUUCACCUGCAACACUCCAAACAGGCUGGAUUUCAGAACCUAGGAAGGAACUAAAUUUGGAGUAAUCCAAAAUCAAAGAGAAUGCACAACUGUCCAUGCCUCUGAAGCCACUUAAUAGAGGGCUUUACUUCACAAGCCCUAAGAGCAAAGGCGUGGCACAAAUCCUUAUACAGGACAGAUCCCAACUGUUAACCCUAUAUGUACCAGCAGCAUAUUUGAUUCUGAAACCGUCCCAAACAUAUGAUAGGAAUUGCCCACUUAAUUAGUUGGUUGGACAGACUUCUAGCUAUUAAAGAUGCACAGCAGACCCACAAACGUGUAUCUGUCACCAGCUAAAGAUCUUCGGAAGGAAUUGAUCAGACCAUAUGCAUAAAUAAGGUCAAUAGGAGCACAACCCUUUUCAACCCAUGGGUAUCUUGAGAACAAAGUUGUUAAAAACUUAUGGACUAUUGAGGAGCAACCCAAAUACAGUGGAGAAAGUGUGUUCCACUGCAGUGUAGUCAAGGCCCACAGAGGAUAACAUUCACAGAGCAUGGGACCAUUUUACUCUGCCAGACCUCAUCUUUGAGACAAGGCAACAUUAUCAGCAUUAUUAAUGUAUCCAUAACUAUUCACCCCUCCCUGUUCUGUCACCCACCAAACCUGCAAAAGUUUGGCCAUUCUGAAGGAUGAAGGAUCCCCAUAGAGAACAUUGCUCCUUCUAAAUGCCCAUUCUCUGUCCUGUUCUGAAUCUCAUUUCUGUUCUCCACAUGCACACUUUUUUUUUUUUAAUUUUUUUUGUAAAUAUACCCUCAAAUAUACAAAUGAACCUGACACCUGAUAGAUGACUUCUCAGUUCUGAGUUAGUAUGCAUGGUGUGCCUGGAAGAAAAAUGGAGAUUUGUACAUCUGAGAGAAGAACAGAGGAAAGACAAUGAGUAUUAGCAGAAGCACAAGAGGGGGUAACAAUGACAGAGAGAAAAUGCAAAAACAAAAAACAAACAAAUGACAACAAACAAAAAACAGCUUAAUCUGUGGGAGAAAAUUCAGGCCAAGAAACAUGAAAUAGAGAUUCCUGGCAGCUAGUGAGAAGACCAGUUGUCUUGAGUUAGUCCUUUUGCCUCUUCAUGGCUGUUACAGCUUUUUUACCUUGCUAGGCAGCUGAACUCCACCACAACCACACUCUUACUCCCCCUCCUCAUAAGAGGAGGGGAGGAAGGAAAGGAAAGAAAUAAUUCAUGGGUUGAGAUAAGGAUAAUUUAAUUAAAGGAAAAAUAAUUAUUAAGGGAAAAUUAUUAUUAAUUAAAUAAUUUAACUAGAGGAAAAAAGGAAAGGGGGAGAGGGGAAGAAAGAACACAAGGCCGUGUGGAAACGCAGAGGAAAGAAAUUACUCUCUCUUCAUCUGAUAGAUAGCUUUGGAACAUCCUACAAAAGUGAUUUCAUAUGGAAGCAGCUGUGACCAUAGUUGGUUAGAGGAUGAUCUCAGAGAUAAUGCAGAUUGCAUAGAGAUUGUAAACAAUCACCCGCCUAACAUGCUACCUUGACUCACACUACUUCAAUUAUAUUCUAGUACACUUAAAGUGGUGGUAACUAAACUAAUUUAAGGAACAAGAACUUUAGCAGUUCUGCGAUACUGGAGAGGUUAAAGCUGAACUGAGGAACCAGAAAGUCAGCCUUUAGAGAUCUCAAAUUUCAGCCACUAAGAAAGUGUCAUUUUCCAGGCAGCGUUAUCCCAUGGAUAGUGCAUAGUUUCUUUUCCAUUGUGGAAUCAUUGGACCCAAGAACUAUUCUGGCUAUUAGCAGAUGCUGAUGAGUAGAAACUUUGUUGUGAAAAGGACUGUAAUAGUUAAUACAAGCCCUGCAAAAGACUUUUACAAGCCACAGAUCAAACAGACAGGAGUGAAUGUCUGCAAGUAUACUGUUUUUUGUGUCAUGCUGUCUAAUGACCAGCCUUUGAUAGAGACCCUCAGGAAAAUCAAAGCACUGAUUUCAUAAAUUAGCAAACAAAAAUAAUUGUACAGAUGGGACUUGAGAUGUCAUGGGUGGAACCUUUCCUGCUCUGUUUUUGAAUGCACACAUAUUUGAUCUGGGUUUGUCUCUCUUUGGAAAUCCUUUCAUUUUGAAUUUAAAUAACAGAAAGCAAAUUCAUGCCAAAGGGUGCUGGAACUGUACAGCACAUAUUAACACAUUUUUUCUUGUUCAUUUCUUUUUUUCGGACUCAGCAUGCCACAGCACUGAAGCUUUUUACUAGUGUAAUUUGGCCAAGCACCCAAGUUAUUGCAAGACAGACAAUCCCUACUAUGAAAGCACUGUAUCUGAUUACCCAAAAGAAGGAAUAUGCUACUGGCAGAGAUAUGUAUGGCACACAGAGUUCAAUCCUUUAUCCUGUGAUCUAACUUGUAGUGUUGAGUUUUUGUUUACAUGCUAAAUUUCCCCACGUAGCUCCUUGAGUUGCAUGAAUUACCUAAUGGCAAGAAAAGAGGUAUUUACAAGGUAUUAUAUGGAACAACCACCUUCAACAGGAAUUACGACAGGUAUAUUUAAAAACUUUUGUUUUUAAAUUCACUUCCAUUUAGUAAACACUUCUUCAAAAAUCAAGCCUUUCCAGAAUACACAGUGAAAAUAAAGUGACUUAUCUUAUCCUUGUAACAACUUGUGUAACUUCCCAGAGGUGGAAAUGUUUGUAGGAGGUUUUUCUUCUAUUUCAAAUAUAAACAGCACUCUAUAAAUGUGUUCAAAUCACAUGCAUCUACGGUUUUAUGCCUAGAACAUACUCAAGAUGGGUUAUAAAUACAAACCUCAUGCUGCAGCUGUAGUAUUAUAUAAUGAACAUCUUUAAAGGUUCAUUAAGAUACUUUGCAAUGUUCUUUCCUAUCCCAUGAAAAUUCUCCUAUCACAGAACUUUGUAAAACAAACCAAUUUUGAUUCCUUCUCCAAAACACAUAACAAAUCCACUACAGUUUUACGCUGUGCUAGUUUUGCCUCAGAGGUAGAUUGCUGAUUGGGUAAAUCUGUGACUAUAUCCUGUCCCAUAAAAGCCAGUUUUUGUUUUCAAUUGGUACAUUUCACCAUCACUCACAAUCCACUGUUGUUAAGAUCCACUAUUCACAACUACUUUUUGGCCAAAUUUAAGACUGAAAAGAAGGGACCAAACAGUGGCUGAGUCACUUCUGUUGUGUGCCAACAAGUUGCUCGUUUGCUGAUUGGCCACCUGCCUUUGAUCUAUAUUAUAUCAUUCCAGGGAGCUGCUCCAGCUGGCCAGAGAUUGGGGAAUAUGAGCUGUAGUCAAGGAUACCUGCAAAGCACUGGGAGCUGCAGCAAAGAGUCUUUGAAGAGAAGCACAGAAAAAGGCAAAUUAGAGGGAAGGCAAGGGAAAAAUAGAGGCAAGGAGCCAAUUUCUGAUCUCAGCAUCACUGAUGUCACCAAUCAGAAUCUGGUCCACAGAGUGCUGGGGAAAGAAGAAAAGAAACAGGUCAGAGAGAAAGGUGACAGACAAGCUGAGGUGACAGAGAGGGGAUAAUUAAUCAUGUCUCAACUGUAAUCUUAAUGACUACUCUGCUUUAACACUUCUAAUGCCUCUUACAAAGCCAAGAGCACAAAAUUAAUAAAAUCUUUCCAAGACACUGGCAUGUCUGUCAUAGCAGCUCCAGCAGCGAUUUUUACCAGCGGCACACUUGACUGCAGAUCCAUCAGAAGAGCAAUAUGCACAGAUCUAAUGCAGAGAAAAAUAUUUAAAUCUCUUCAUGCUUAGGGUGAAAUACUGUAAUAGCAGACUUGCUUCUACUUAAGACCUACCUUGUUUUCAUUUUCUAAGCAUUUCCAAGGUUACUUCAUUUGAUUGUACAAUAAAGCCAAGACAAUGCCUACAACCUUUUUCAAAUUUUUGAAGGAUUCACCUUCAUUUUAGAAUACAUUCUCCUCAAAAAAAAAUCCAUGCAACCACCAAAAAAAAAAAAAAAAAAGAAAACUAACCUUCCUGAAAUAUUCUCUUCUGAAAAUGCUCAUGUGUUGGAACUCUACUGGCGAGUCAAAAUAAUUGAAAAUAAUUGUUAUGAUCAGUGCAAGGAUUUUUUAUUUAUUUCACUGAACUAUUUGUUCUGAAAGUAUUUUUUUAUCUACUAAAAUAAGGAAAAAAAAUAUACAUGAAGAACUCUUUAUCUGUUCUAAAUACUCUUUCAAGCUAGAAAAGUCAUUUUUAGCUUAAACACAGAGAAAGGCUGAGUUGUCUGCUAUUCCUGCCGUGUGGAUCCUUGGAGGCCUGGUCUAGCAACAAGAUUUGCUGUGCUGUUUUUAUGACCAUUGCAUUAAGAACUGCAGUAAGGCUGGGUUUGUUGUUGUUGUUCUGUUGUUUUGUUUUGUUUUUGCCUCAAUUCCUUUGCAAGUAAGAAUUUAAGGGAGCUUCUCUUUGGCUUGAAGCUGGCAAACUUUAUCAAGGCUGAAAAAUAACUUCCCACAAAACAAGCAAAGAAAAUUCAACUUUUGAUUAGUGACAGUCUUAGAAAUAACUGAAACAGGUAGUGCUUGUUAGAGUCAUGAACCUACCCUAUGCCCUGAGAAGCAAAACUAUCAUCUGAAGUCAGCAGCUUACAUUUAAAAGGUUGAAAUUCUCAUUUGAUGAUAUUUCUGUUGCAGUUUGAAUCCCUUCAUCCUACGCUACUCCAACAAGCCGGAUUUGCAGGUGGAAGUCAUUGUGUCACCUCAGACUUAAGCCCUUGCAGAAUUGCAGCUCACACAGGACAGUCCUAUUGAUGUCGAUGUGAUUGCUUGCAGUAUAUAACACUUGGCAGGUGUUUCAGCUUGGAGACUAAGUGAAGUAGGGUUACACUGAGAGAUUUAACUGAGCUAAAUGAGCUUUUCAAAAGUUCAUUUGAAUAUACAGCAUUAAACUUUUCAAAUAAGAUACAGACCCUAUAUUUAGUCCUGCCAGUGGAGGUCAUUUUCCCCUCCUGAAGUGGAAGAACCUUCACUAGAGAGUGAUACCAACAAAUAAAGUCAUUAAGGAAGCAAAUCGUAUUGCAUGGUUCUCUGUAAUGGAAGUUGAAUCAUGUUAUUCACUAAAAAUGAGCGUGUAAGUUUUGAAAACACCUGUAGGUUAUUGCAACUCAGGUCUGAAGUUGAUGGAAUUUGAGAAUGUGAGUUUUCUUGCUGUUGUAAGUUUACAAAAUACCUUAAUGCUAUUAUUAUAUAUAUAUAAUUUUAUAUGCUUUUCACUACUCUAUUUGUGUUUCUUCACCAAGAAAAAAAAAAGUUUAAUUUCCCUUCACAGCAGCUAGAGCUGAGUCAUGCUCCAAGUUUUCCUGUUAUAACUUGUCUAAGACAUUAGGGACAGAAAUUUGCACUAAGCUGUUAGUAUAAACUCCAGCAUGCCGUAUGUGCAGCCAGUCAACUUCCUUACCAAGACAGCUUUUCUACUGGUCCACCCCCCAAUGAAGGAUGUCCCUGCAGGACGCAAAGAAAGAGCUUUAAACUAGAUUUGAAGUGGGGAAAGGAUAAAACCAGGCUUACUAAAGAUGACCCUUGUACAGUGUGCCAAUGGAUGCAGGACACUGCGCUAGCAAGAUCCUUCAGUCUGCUAUUCCAGCGGAAGUAGGUGAUGGAGAACCAUGCAACAGCAAAGACACGAGGCAUAUGGAUGGGUUAGAAAUCACAGAAGUGCCUAAGAAUGGUCACAUUGGAAUUAGGGCUUCUCCCCCCAAAAAGGUGAUGGGAUCAUUAGCCAAACUGAAGUGCAAUAAUACCAUUGUAUGCAGCAUGGGCAACAAACAGGAAAAGCUUGGAGUCGUUGUGCAGCAGGAAAACUAUGAAAGUUGCCAUCACAGAAAUGGGAUGAUCUGCACAACUGGAGUGCUGCAACGGAUGGCUAUACACUCUUUGGAAGGGAUAGGCUAGGAAGGAGAGGUGGUGAGAUAUGUUAUGUAUGUUAGAGAUUGUUUUGGUUGUCUUGAACUUAAUGAUUGUAAAGAUAGGGUUGAGUGUUUAUGGGUAUAAAUCGGCAAAGGCCAACAAGGCAGAUGUCAUGGAGGAAGUCUGUUAUAGACAACACAAGCAGGGUGAAAAAGUAGGUGAAAUACUCUAUAAGCAGUUGGGAGGAGCUUCACAGUUGCUGUCCCUCAUUCUAACUGGAAUGCUUCAACUUACCAGAUGUCUGCUGCAAAAGCAAUACAGCAGAGAGGAAGCAGUUUAGGAGUUUCCUAAAGCAGCACAGAGAGAUAGAGUAUCUUGAAUUGGAAGAGACCCAUAAGGAUGGGAUGACUGGAACUUCUGGCUACACACAGGACGAUGCCAAAAUUAAGCUAUGUUUUGCGAGUGUUGUCCAAACUUCAUUACACAGCUGGUGAAUGAGCCAGCUACAGAAGGUGCACCACUGCAUCUUUUGCUUGCUAAAAGAGAAGGAAUUGUGGGUGGAAGGUUGCAGGCCAUCUUGGGCAUAGUAAUCACAUGUUAGUAGAGUUUUUGAUUCUUGGAAAAGUAAAGAGGGAGGUUAGCAGAAAUGCCAGCCUGGACUUCCAGAGGGCAGACUUCAGCCUGUUAAGGAGGCUGGUUGGUGGAGUUCCUUGGGAUGCAGUCCUGAAGGGCAAAGGAGUCCAGAAAGGCUGGACACUCUUCCAGAAGAAAAUUCUGAAGGUGCAGGAGCAGUUCAUCACCAUGUGUUAGAGAUCAGCCAGCAGGCUAGAAGGUUGGCCUGUCUGAACAGAGAGCUUUAGGUAGGACUCAGGAAGAAAAAAGUUCAUGACCUUUGGAAGAAGAGACAGACCACUCAGGAGGACUACAAAGAUGUCAUGAAGCUAUGCAGGGAGGAAAUUAGAAGGGCCAAAGCCCAGCUGGAUAUUAAUCUGUCUCCUGCCGUUAAAGACAAUAAAAAAUGCUUCUAUAAAUACAUCAGUAGCAAAAGGAGGACUAAGGAGAAUUUCCAUCCUUUAUUGGAUGUGAGGGGGAACACAAAAGGACAAGGAAAAGGCUGAGGUACUUAAUACCUUUUUUGCUUCAGACUUUAUUAGUAAGACCAGUUCUUCUCCAAACCCCCUGUGCUGGAAGAUAGGGACAGGGAGGAGAAUGAAACACCCGUAAUACAAGAGGAAAAGAUUAGUGACCUGCUACACCACUUAGGUGCACACAAGUCUAUAGGGCCAGAUGGGAUCCACCCAAGGGUAUUGAGGAGGCUGACGUAUGUGCAUACCAAGUCACUUUCCAUCAUAUAUUGGCAGUCCUGGCUGUCAGGGGAACUUCCAAUUGAAUGGAAGCUGGCAAAUGUGAUGCCCAUCUACAAGAAGGGCUGGAAGGAGGACCCAGGCCUGUCAGUCUGACUUGUAUGCUGGGGAGGGUUAUGGAGCAGAUCAUCUUGAAUGCCGUCACGUGACACCUACAGGGCAACCAGGUGAUUCGGCCCAAUCAGCAUGGGUUUAUGAAUGUCAGGUCCUGCUUGACAAACCUGAUCUUCUACAAGGUGACACACUCAAUAGAUGAAGGAAAGGCUGUGAAUGUUGUCUACCUAGGCUUUAGUAAAGCUUUUGACACUGUUUCUCAUAACAUUCUCCUGGAGAAACUGGCUCCUUAUGGCGUGGAUGGGUGUAUGCUUUGCUGGGUAAAGAACUGGCUGGAUGGCCAGGCCCAAAGAGUUGUGGUGAAUGGAGUUAAAUACAGUUGGAGGCCAGUCAUUAGUGGUGUCCCCUAGGGCUGAGUACUGAGGCCAGUUCUCUUUAAAAUCUUUAUCAAUUAUUUGGAUAAGGGGAUCAAGUACACCUCAGUAAGUUUGCAGACUGCACCAAGCUGGGCAGAAGUGUUGAUCUGCCUGAGGUUAGGAAGGCUCUACAGAGGUGUCUGGAUAGGCUGGAUCAAUGGGCUGAGGCCAACUCUGAAGUUCAGCAAAGCUAAGUGCCAGGUCCUGCACUUGGGGCCUGCACUUGGAUAGAAAGUUUCAUGGUGGAAAGGGACCUGGGGGUAUUGGUCAAUAGCUGGCUGAAUGUGAAUCAGCAGUGUGCUCAGGUGGCCAAGAAGGCCAACAGCAUCCUGGUUUGUGUCAGAAAUAGAGUGCCCAGCAGGGCUAAGGAAGUGAUUGUCUCCCUGUACUUGGCUCUGGUGAGGACGCACCUUGAAUAUGGUGUUCAGUUUUGGGCCCCUCACUACAAGAAGGACAUCAAGGUGUUGGAGCAUGUCUAAAGAAGGGCUACAAAGCUGGUGAAGGGUCUAGGAACAAGUCUUACGAGGAGGAGCUUAGGGAGCUGGAAUUCUUUAGGCUGCAGAAAAAAGGAUUCAGGGAGACCUUACUGCUCUCUACAGCUACCUGAAAGGAGGUUGUAGUGAGGUGUGAGCCAGUCUCUUCUCCUGUGCAACAGUGUCCUGGUUUCAGCUAAGAUAGAGUUAAUUUUCCUUCUAGUAGCUGUGAGGGUGCUACGUUUUGGAUUUAAGAUGAACAUAAUUUUGAUAUCACACUGUUGUUUUAAUUGUUGCAGAGCAGUGCUUACAACAAGCCAAGGACAUUUCAGGUUCUCGCUCUGUCCUGCCAGAGGGCAGGCUGGGGGUGCAGCAGGAGCUGGGAGGGGACAGACCCAGAACAGCUGACCCAAACUAGCCAAAGGGGCAUCCCAUACCGUAUGGGGUCAUGCUGAGCAAUAUAUAGGGGUGGAUAGCGGGGUCGGGGGGCCGGCUGCUCGGGAAUAGGCUGGGCAUCAGUCAGCGGGUGGUGAGCAAUUGCAUUGUGCAUCACUUGUUUUGUACACAUCAGUAUUAGCAGUGCUAUUAUCAUUAUUAUUUCUUAUUUUCCUUUCUGUCCUAAUAAACUGUCUCUUUCUCAACCCACAGGCUUCAUCUUUCUGAUUCUCUCCCCCAUCCCAGAGGGAGGGGGGAGGGGGAGUGAAUGGCUGUGUGGUGCUUAGCUGCUGGCCAGGAUAAACCACAACAGGCAAUGGGACAAAAGGAAAUGUCCUCAAGUUGUGUCAGGGGAGGUUUACUUUGGAUAUUGGAAGAAAUUUCUUCACUGAAAGGAUCAUGAAGAAUUGGAACAGCCUGCACAGGGAAGUGGUUGAGCCACCACCUCUGGGGGUUUUCAGGAGAUGUGUAGAUGUGGCACUUAGGGACAUUGUUCAGUGGUAGACUUGGUAGUGCUAGGUUAAUGGUUGGAUGUGAUGAUCCUGGAGGUCUUUUCCAACCUAAAUGAUUAUAUGACAGUACUUGAUAAUACAAAGGAAUGCUUAAGAAGUUGUGCAUUUAUGACACAGUGCCAUAGGUCACAAAUAGCCAUGUUUCAGACAAGUGCACAGACAAAUGCACUUCAGUCUCUUAUUAACAUCUCUCUAAUACGUUGCUUCUUUGGAAAGAUUCCCUUGAUAUGUAGAUUUCAGCCAGGAUUGAUGAUGAUGUAUAAAGUGCUCUUAGGAAAUGAGACAACACUGUUGUCAUGAAUGAGAGCAGGGGUCUCUAUGGUAGAGAAGUGGUCUAUGUUACAGAAUAUAUGCAGAUAAGUCCCUUGAAUUAUACACAAUAAAGAGAAGACACCAUGAAAUGCAUCACAAAAAUAUUUCUGGUUUGUAUUCUGUGAGGAAGAAUGGUAUCUAGUGAAUGUAAAGUAUAUAUAUAUCAAAGUAUAUAUCCCAUUAUGUGUACCAUUUUAUACAACAAAAUUGUGCUUGACCUCUUAAAAAGAAAGGAAUUUAGUGCCAUCCAAACAUUUUUCUGCGAGCAGGGCCUAACAUUCUCCAAAAGUGUAUUCUAAGUGCUUGUAACGUUCUUUUUUUCAUUCAUCUGCUUGUAUAAUACACUCAUGCAAUUUUUCUAAAAAUAAGAAUAAAGAAAUUGAUACUUCAGAGUCACCUUUCUGUCUCAUAGAUGUGCUUACAGUAAAUCCACAGUUCAGAAAAUGGUGACAGGUCCUGACAGGAAAGACAUGAUCUCUCUAAGCAACGCCUUUGUGCUAGCUUACAAACUACAGCCAAACAAUGCAUGGGAAAAUUAUUGGAAAAUUCCCAUGAUUUCUUGGCAUAGAUAUGGUAGAGCUUGUUUUUGUUGUUGUUUUUUAUAAUUCAUGUUGGUGUAAAAAGUUUCUAUACAGCUCAAAUAAAAGCACAAUAUUCUUUUAAGAUUCACAGUUGCUAUACAAUCUUAGGAACUGCACUUACGUCAUAUGAUGUAAGAACUAAUGCCAAUUUUGAUAUGAUGUUCAUAAUGUUAGUAGCAUAAAAUAAUAAAUUAUGUAAUUUUUCCUUUCUGAUAUGACAAAAUUACUUGAUUCAUUGAUUCUAGAUUCUGUAAUCCAGUCUCUUAUCUAUUCAUGUAAUGUCCUGUAAUUCAAAUAUUCCUAGGUAACAUGCUGCAAAUAGUGGAAAUGGUCGGAGUUAAAAGGAAGUGUUGAAACUUGCCUGUUUUUAUAUUUAAUCUGAUUUGAAAUAAGGAAAACAGACAAGACAUGCUUUAAAUGCAAGCAGACUACCACAGAAGAUCAAAGAUGCUCCUGAUACAUAGCAGGUGCUCAUAUAGCCUUUUGAAUCCUCUGGGAUUAUGUAUGAAAUUGCAUGGAUUUAUGUAAGAAAUAUUCAUAGCUGAUCUGUGAAAACUUUUGUAUUUCUGGGUUCUUAGUACAUGUUUGAUUGUAGGCAAACGUGUGUAUCAUUGAAUUGGUGUCAAGAAGUGUGCUGAUAAAAUAAGGCUACCGCUGUUCUGCCACAAUAACUUGGAAACUGUUCUUUAAUUUAAAUGACGACAAUACUUCCCAGCUGGUAGAAGUGGUUUGAUAACUAGAGGUUCACAUUUUGUCCGGAAACUGUAAUUCCAUUUCCUUCAAAAGUUGGACUUGUACUCUUGGAAAAGAAAUUGUAAGUUGUUGUUUCUCAAAGCUUAAAGAUGUUUUUAGAAAAAAAUAAAUAAAUCUCAACUUCCAGAUAUAACUAAAUCUCCAAAUAUGACACACAUAACAGAAUACGAUAUGUAUUUAUGCUGUUUUUCCCUAGCUAUGGUUAUUCCUAGCAUUUUUCCCAAAAUAUUUUUGUAACCACUGCAAAUGAAGGAGGGAACUGAAUGUGCCUAAAACAAUAUUUUUGAUCUACUGUGCCAUUUAGUUGUCUCUAAUAUGCCUGCUAUUGCACAGAAAAAGGAGGUAUUUACAGCUGUGCACUUUUUUUGUUGUUUUCAAUUUUAUGAUCAGAAACAUCACCUGGUGUAACUGUGGCAAAGACUGAUUUGCGUGAGACUUCUUGUAUUAAUGGCAUUGAGCACCAUAAGACAAUGUUCAACAGACAUUUCUGAAAAAAAGACAACAAAGUCAUUUUAUGGUACUAAGACUACUAUUCUCACCAGAAGUACUCCUCUAUGGGUUAACAUCUUUUCUGACAGAUUCAUGGGCCUUAUUUCAUUUGGCAAGCAAGAAUUAGCUGGCAAUCAUAGGUUUCAAAAUGAGUAUGAAAGAGAAUCCAAAAAAAACUAACAAUCCUUACCUUUGACAGUAUAUAACAUAAAAUGAGCACUUUUGCAUCCAAAUACUACAGUUGGUGAAUGAUGUGCUGCAGAUCCUAGACCAAUGUUAUUUUGAAUUAAAUAACAGCAGAAUACAUAAUGAAUCAGUCUUUCAUUUUGCUCUUCUUGAAACACCCAAACACUGUUUCCUUGUUUAUGGAUAUGAAGUGCUCAACAUAUUUUUUCCAUGUAUAUGUUGACACCUGUAUCACCUUGGUCACUACAUCUUACUUUAAGAAUGUCUGCAAAACUCUGUACUUCAAGAAGAAGGAAACAAAGAGCGUUUUCUGUCAUAAUUUGUCCUUCUCAUUAGGAAAAAAAAAGGCUACAACAGAGAUUUAUUUAAGAACUCAGGUUCACAGCAGCAUAGAGAUGCUGACAAGAAGUGAAUGCUGCAGUGUCAAUGCUUGCUUAAGUACAGCACUGAGAUAUAGUAGUAUUUAUAAGAUACAUUCUCAGUACUGCAGAACUGUGUAGUCCAAGACACGAAAGCAUCUGGAACUAAAAGAAAGGGAAUGAUAUCGUGCUGAGAAUAUAACAGAGCCCAUUCUUUCAUUAAAGAGUUUUUGAAUGAAUGAAUGAAUGGGUGCUCAAAAAUAGAAAAUACCUAAGUAAGGAGAGCCAGGUUCUUCAUAUUGAUAAUCGAGAUCAACAUUUUUAAAAGUGUAGACUUGGAAGUACGGGGCCUGGUCUUGCAGUAUUUCUCAAGAGGAAAGUUUUCUUGUCUAUAAUAACAAUGCUCAACAGAGUAAAUGUACUGAGACCAAGCUUUGCCCUCACACAGACUUUUUGCACUAAAGUUUUAUCACCAGUGACUGGCUAACAUUGGAUUUUGCUUUAGCAGUAGCUGUGGAGGAUGCUGGAAUUCAGCCAUACUUGUGUCUGACUCUGAAAAAAGGGGUGGGAGAAAGGGAGUCCUGUUGCCUAAAAAGCAGAACAUCUGCUGGAGUUAUUAACAUUUUUUUGGCCAAGUUAAGCAGCAGGGCACCUUGUGGUUGAUGGAUUCUUCCCCAAGCAAUUCAAAACAAUGCAGUUAAAGCAAAUUUCUCAUUUCCAGAGAAGCAACCUAAUGAGGCAAAAACUGUUUUUAAAAAUGGUGUAUCUUUGCCAUCACUUCCCAGUGGUAAUAACCCUUAAGCUACUUGCAGCUGCUUGGCUAAACAGGGUUUUUAUAGCUUCACUUACAUUAUUUAAAAUAUUUCCACAAGUGAUCCAUUUGUAGAUAGUGACAAAUCUUUCAAAUGGCUCAUUUCACCUUUUUCAGCCACCAGAGAGAUAUGUGGGCUUAGAAACACAAUUUCUUGACAAGCUCUGGGAGCAAAUUCAAAGCUGACCAGAGUUGAUAUGUUCCUAUUCUGAGUGACCGGUUUAAGGUUUCUCCUGCAGAGUGAUUUAAAUUGAGCUGGCAAACUGUAGAUAAAAACAAGCAGACUGUCUUCUUAUUUCCAUUGUUUCAGACAGACUGGGUGGUGCUUGGAGGAAGAUGCGUGUACAAACAAGCUCUAAGGUAAAAUACUGGCAGGUCUACAAGUGCCAUAAAUUGGGCAUGCAUCAUGCUGAAGUGCCUCCUCAGCAGAGAAAAACAAUCCUUGUAGAUGCUGAUCUCAGAGAUGUUACACAAAGUGGCUAAGGGUUUUGAAAGGAAAAGUGAUUCAGGUACUGGACUUGUUAUGCUUUCUCUAAAGAUCAGUCUGUACUCCAUGAAAAUAAAAGAAGAUGUGGUAGCUUGGAUUUCAACAGGGAAAAUAUGCUCUUAGGGUUGGGUUAAUUAAAAUAUGAUAGCUGAAUUUAGUUGAGACACAGCCAUUUCUCCUUGUCUAGAAUCUCUUCAUCACUCCUGGGAUGAGUUUUCCAUAGCCCUCAGAUUUACAAGAGAUUAUUCUUCUUGCAAUGUUGAAAAGUGAGCAUUUACUUCAGGUACCAUUCAUUUUUUUCUUUUGUGAACUUUCCUUCUAAAAAAUAUAUCCAAUUUACAAUGUCUCUCUAAUUUUGAUGAAUUAUGACUCUCCAUGCUAUACCUUGUUUUAUAUGCCAAACAGGUAUAUCAUUAACUUUUGUGAAUCUUCAGGCAUAAUAUAGAUUUUGUUCAGUAGUGAAAUCUCACUCACUGAUUGGGAUAAAUAUUAUACCAACUAGUUUGUUUGUUUAAUUUUUCCUUGUAAUUUCUAUUUAAAAAGCAGGUAUUGCCCUGGCUUUGCAGGUUGGCAGUCGGGACAGAAUAGCUAAUUCUGUUAAUGUGAAAUAAUGUGGGCACCUAGAAACUGAGUGAGAGCAUGCAGUCCUCAGGGGUUAUUCCUCAGGGGUCACUACUGGGACUAGCACUAUUUAACAUAGAGAGUGGCUGUCAUCAUUUUCAUUCUUAAGUGCAGCUUGUGGUCCAGAUAAUAGCCACUUCUUUUCGUUUGGUUUGGUUUUGCGACAGCAUUUGCCCAGCAAAGAAGAAACUGGGCACUGGGCUUCUUGUUUUUUUGGCAGUCUCUGAAAGUUCAAAAUCACAGCACCCAGAGUAAACAAGUUCAAAUUAAUGCAGCUUGCUUCCAGGCCAGUGCAUGCAUGCUGUAGAACAGGCCUGGCAUGGCAGCACUUUUUAGAGCUCAGCUAGGCUGGAUGCUGUUUGUGGGCCUGCAGCAACACUCUGCCUUUCCAGUGGUGCUCAGAUGCCAUAGCAACUCUCACUUUAUAAACAGAGCUACACAAAACCCCCAAAAACACCCAGCUGCCUGGAGCUACUGAAGCUUUGCAAAUUCUGAUAAAAAUUAGGGGGUUCACUAAGCCUGAUGUGGGCAACUGCAAUUCCAGUGACUUCAGAGAAGCUUGUCCCACUGUCACCUCCACUGACAUUAUUAUUUCAGUUUCUCUGAAAUAAUUCCCAUCAAGUGCAAAUUACUUCAAGAGGGGCUAUUGGGUAGAACUUAACGGCACAAGUUAAACCUACUUGUCAUGUCUAUGAUAAGUGAGCUGAAGACAGGAAAUCUAUUUAAUUUUAACUGUUUUAUUAAGAUGUGAACGUUGGAAAUGUCUCCACACAGGUAAAAUCCUACUUUCUUUAAAAAAGCUUUCAUUAGAAUGUUCUGUCCAGGAAAGCAAGAGUGUCUUACAGUCACUACACAGAAAGAGAAGAGGCAUUACUCUUUAUUUUGAAAAUAUAACUUGAUGAUAACAGUGGAAAGCGUGGGACUAUCAAAGGACACACUGAAAGGACUCAUGCAUUUGCCAGAUAAAUCGGAGUUAGGAUUAUCUGCUAGUGGGCAGCUACUGAUAUAAAGUCUUUUUACUGGUUCUGGCUGGAAUAGAGAUAAGUUUCUUCACAGCAGCUGGUGUAGUGCUGUGGUUUAGAUUUCUGACCAAAACAAUGGUGAUAACAAAACAAUGUUUUAGCUACUGCUGAACGGUAUUUACACAGUGCCUUCUGUUUCUUGCUCUGCUUCCCAAGUGAAUACAUUGUGGGCAUACAUGAGUUUGGAAGGUACACAACCAGGCAAAUGACCCAAACAAACCAAAGAGAUAUUCUGUGCUAUAAAAUGUCAUGCUCAGCAAGAGAAUGGAAGGGAGGGGGCUUAGGUAUGUUCCCAUCUGUUGCUUGGGAUCCGGUGAGACAUUGGUCUACACAUGGAAGAUGGUGAGCAAUUGCCUUUGCAUGAUUUUGGUUUUCUUUCUUUGUUCCCUUUCUUCUUCUUCAGCUGUUAAACUAUUUUUAUCUCAAUUCAUGCGUUUUCUCACUUUAAUUUUCCUUUUCCCCUGUCCUUCUGGGGUUUGGGAGGAAGACUGAGUGAGCAGCUGUGUGGUGCUUAGCGGCAUACUGGGGUUAGCCCACAAAAGCAUUAGAGCAUUACAUGAACAUAAUUCAUGUAGGUAUCCAUUUUCAGGGUAGCACAUUAGGUGUGUGUUUAAAACCCAUGCAAUAAUGGAAUUGAAAUGUGUGCUGUGUACUUUUUGAGGAUCAAAGUUUUGUGUUAUAAAGCUCUUGCAAGCAGAGAACAUUGAACAGGUGCAGAGAUUCCGCAGAUCAUCUGGAGAUUGCUGUGAAGAGAGGCAGCAGCAUUGAAUCCCUCCAGUCCUUGGCUUGUCUUCCUUGUCUUUCAGUAGUUGAUGGUGUUGACUGAUGAGACAGCCUUUAAACUGUACUGACCUUGACAGGGCAUCUGUCAAGAGGGAUGAGGAUUGCUAACAGCACUUUGCUUGCUUGUUUCAAAUCCCUUGUGCUCUUUCCCGCUUUAAAAAAAAGAAAUAAAAUAUAUUGUCCAUGUGUGAUUUUCAUGUCUCAUGGGAGGGUUGCAUUUCUUGUAAGAGAAAAAUAUGGGGAAAACUGUAACAGCUAUCAUUUUGAUUAUCAAAUACUCAAAAUAUUUGACUAUUUGGGGGAAAAUCAUUUUUGGAGGGAAGUUCAAUGCUCACAAAAAGCUGUUUAAGGAAAUACCAUUUAUGUGCUGUUGACACCCCAAGGUCCUGUAAUAAGAAGCUGCUCUGGUAUGCUUUUCCUGAAGUCAGUUCAGCAGCACUCUGCACAAUCCAACCACACGGUGAAGUCUCAUAUCUGCUAAAGAUUAAAUACAGGAAAACAUACCGUACUGUGUCUCACUGGGGUGGAGUUAAUUUUCUUCCAGACCGUGCUGUGUUUUGGAUUUGUAACUUAAACAGUGCUGAUAACAUGCCAGUGUUCUGGCGUAGCUGAGCAAUGCUUGUACAGUGUCACAGCUUCUCUUUUUCCACCUCUGCAUCCCUUGGUGGUGCACAAGAAACCACUCUCUUACCUGAAAGAUUCAUCUCCUUCUGUGCCUUUCUUUGUCAGUUGAGUUCGGCUGAGGAACUUGGGUUCACUCUGCUCCAGUUCUUAAGAGAUGGAGAUGGUGACAGAGUUUUCAACUUCAGUCUCAUUUUAUUACAGAAUCACAGAAUCACAGAAUCACAGAAUAUCCCAAGUUGGAAGGGGCCUGCAAGGUUAAUUGAGUCCAAAUCCUGGCUCCCCACAAGACCACCUACAAAUCAAACCACAUUUCUGAGCAUUGUCCAAGCACUCCUUGAACUCCAGCAGGCUUAGUGCUGUGACCACUUCUCUGGAGAACCUGCUCCAGUGCCUGACUGCCCUCUCAAUAGAUUUCCAUGUCACUGUGGCCUGCAAGUCUAUAAAAUCCAUGCUGAUAUAAAAACUCAGAAGAACAGCUUCAAAUCCUCUCCAUUGAAAGAAAAACUGGAAGUCUGUUUUUUGUUGUUGUUGUUGUUUUUGUUUGUUUGUUUUUCUUUUUUGUUUUGUUUUUUGUUUUUUGUUUUUUUACCUAAUGAAGACAAGCAUGUGUUUAACUGUAAGUAUGUUCUUAAAUCCCCCAGCACUCAGUGAAAAAAAAACUAAAGCAUGUGCUUGUUUGAGCUGAGGUCACUAUAUCUAAUUCUAACAGCUGUGAAGAAAGCUGAUGAUGCAAUAGAAACUGAGAAGGCAAGAGGUCUAAGGAUGUCAUCUCAAAAAUGAUAUUUUGCUCCUUGCUAUGAUUAUAAGUGCUAUGACAGAAGAGGACUUGUCUUUCCAGGAGACUGACUGACUGACUGAUUGAUUGAUUGGUUGAUUGAUUUUUGUUAAGCAUUGGGCAGGAAAGAGAUGUGGAGAAUCACAACACAAAUGUUUCCUGUGUUUCAGUCAAUGUUGAUGGGCAAGGUUAGCCUGAGUAACAUAAGACAGUCCACUGGAAGAAUUUGAAUUACGAGGCAAGUGAGUUAAUUUAUGUCAGACUUCUUCAAGGCUUCCAAAUAAUGUUACAUACUUGUGAACACUGCACAACUAAAAUGAGGUGCUUUUUCCUCCACACAAGUUAAGAAAUACUGGAAGAACAAGAUGAAGAACACUUGUUGCCAUCAUUGCUUGAGGUGUAACUGAAGAAAAACUGGCUUCAGGCUCUGAAGCUGGCACUGGGAAGGGUGUAGCAUCAUGCACUUUGAGUUAUGAUACAUCCAUGCUAUGAAUUAGGCAUAGACUUCAUUGUACUUUUUUGCCCAGACACGCUCAGUAACUGUGUUUUAUUUAUAAGUUAGUGCUAAGGUGCCAAUUUAGACUAACCUCUACAAUUCUCAAACAACAACAAAAUGAGCUUGCACCAAGCUUUAGCCUGGGUGAGGCUGUUUCCUUUACAUGACCUGGAAGGAUGGAACAUGUUCAUACUGCAGACCAGUGCACAUAAUGCUGCACAAAGCUUUAAUCAUUUAGACAACAGUGUGGGUGUCUUGGAGUCUGAGUUUUUGCCAGGCUGACGAAUGGCAUUGUUCCUGGAAAGAGAAUGGGUACUGGGAGCCAGCUGCCCAAGUCUGCUGUCCAGCCUGUUUUUAAUUCCAGGGUGGGCCAAGAAUGGGGGCUGCCUCAUGGGCAUGCCCUUCCCAACUGCCUCCAUCUGUGCUAUGUCCUCCCAUCCUCUGGAUCAGGACAUUACCUGGCUGUUGCCUUGUGGUUUUUAAUUUAAUCACUGGUUCUUCAACCUUAGUCAUUACGGCAUCAUGCAGUGUAAAAUGUCAAGACAGCAUUGGAAUACACGCUAUGAAUAAUAAGAUACUUUUUGUUUUUUAUGGUAAUAAUAUAAUUUUUUUCUGAUGAUCUCCUUUCUAUUAUUACCCAUUACAGAGAGUGUCCUGUCAUUACCUUAUACCUCUUAAAAUUUAAAAAUGUAGCAUGUUGGAUCAGACAUGACUCUGACAGUGUGACAAGUGCCUUUGUCACAAUUACUUCUGUAUUUACACCACCCACAAGGUGACAUGUUCUGAUAAAUGAACUAUGUGAUGCUAGAUUUUCUAUCAGCACACAUGCUUGAGAAUCUAUGGUGCGGUUGCUUUGAGUAUUACAGCAGUUCAUACAGAAUAUGCUGUAUUAACUCUAUACCACAUCCACAAUGAGGAAGGAGAAUAUAGAUAUGUGCUGAAUAUUAUUACCAAUAUUUAUAGUGAUUUAGUACAUGUAGAUUUAGAUGCAUUUAGUACAUUUACAUUUAGAUUUACAUUUUAGGUUUAGUUUUUAUAAUACAUUGUUUGUGCUUCAGUUGUUUAUUCCUAAAAUGCAGGUUACAGUAAAGAUAAUAAAUGAAAGUUCAAAAUGUUUGAAGGUAACAGUCUAAGUUGUAUUACCAUUACCAACAAAGAACUCAGAAAAUACACCUAUUUAUGGUAAUCAGAAGGAUGAGCCUUUUUUCCCCACAUGGGCAAACUAUGAUAAGUUUUCUUUCUGUUUCAAUUCCAGCUCCAUUUUCUACCACCUGCAUUGGCUCUGUCAUCAUUGUAUUAUAUCUUUUUUUCUACUGUUGUGUUCAUGGCCUUAUUAAUUGAUUAUUUCGUCUGGCCUGACUUUUCAAAUGUUAGAUGUAAGUGGUGAUAUUUGUCUGGACUAUCACAAUAAUGGGCUUUGCACAAUCACUCAGAAUGCUUUGUCAUGGCUCUAUCUACCUCUCAGAGAGCGACCUUGUAGAACUACCUUCUGUCUGGUUUAAUUGUUCCCAUCAUUCUUCUCUCCAUCAACACUUGAUAAAGAACUAAAACAAAACAAAACAAAACAAAACAAAAAAAAAAAAACACAACACUUUUUAUUUAUUUAUUUAAUAUUUUAAUCUGUGCAAGACAUGGGGACUUGGGUAAGGAUUUCAUGUGCAGAACAACAGAACACCAAACUGAUGCUGUGUCAACACACAGUUCAAACACACUCACACACCACUCAGAGAGAGUGAGCUCAUACUGGAAAUGGACAAAGAUCACUUUCCCUCUCUCAGAUAAAUCAUAAUAAACAUGUUUAUUAUGUAAAACCUUUUAAAGAAGCUGAGUUACUACAUUUGAGUACAUACUGCCUUAGUAUAGUAUUGAAAGCAGUGCUUUAGUCAUGGAAGUGUCACAAAGCUGUUAAAAUUGAUUUGGAUUAUUUCCUUCAGCCUAUGAAGAAGGGGUUACAGCCAGAAAUUACAUAUCCCAUACGCUGUCAUUAAAAUGAGGACCAUAGAAUGAGAGGAAAAUUAUUUCAUUUCCAAAAUGCACAGAUAUAAUUGUCAUUAUUUUUGUAAGCUGAACCAAGAGUUGUGCUUUUAUCGACUGAAUUCUGUGGUACAGGUUCAGAAGGCCAACUUAGCAUUUGUCUGUAACUUUUCAUUAAAGGGAGACUGAGACUCUCUGGCCAUUAGUUGAUCAAAAUUUCAUUAUAAAGGAAAAAUGUCCUGGGUGAUAACUGCUGCAUCUUUUUGCAAGGCAAGUUGAUUCAUACAAAUCAUUCAUAUACUGUUGGAUUGAAAUCCAUUGUACAAUGUGAUUUUCAUUGCCAAGGCCUUCUUUGAAGCCUUAAAAUUUUAAUACAUAGGAGGAGUGAAAACAAGUAUAAUGAUUUUGCUAUAGGUGGGAAUCAACACAAUCAGCAAUACUCAUUGCAUGCUCUAAGCUUAUUGCAGGGACUGACAGAAGGAUAUGAGCUAGCAUCCGAAGAGAGAAGCUAAAAUAAUUGUUUCAAAUACAAUCUAAACCAUGAAAAUGGACCUUGAGGUCUGGGCCAGAUUACCUCUUCAUAAUAAGGUAUCCCAUAUGAACAAUACAGCCAUAAAUAAACUAACAACAUUUGGGAGAUUCAGAGGAGAUGGGAAAAUAAAAUGUAGAGUGAUGACAUAUUCAUGGUCUCACAUUUUAUGGACCUCCAACACUACUUACUUGAUUUACAUAUAUACAUAUAUAUUUAUGCAGGAGUAUGGAAUCUGAUGGAAAAUAAUAAAGACUAUUAGAAUGCAGCUCCUUCUGUGUCAGAGAGAAGGAAGUAUUAAUCAGAGCUACACAAUAACUGCAAACAGGUGAGAAUACCCAUAAAUAUCAUUGAGAAGCAGAGCUUUCUGUGCAACACCAGAGGCAUAUUGAAAUGACAAAAUGGAGGAAUAAUUACUAAACUGGUGAUGACCAUUGCUGCUCAGCAUGCUUUGCAUAGCAAUGAGUAUUCUGAGUGCCCUCACCUACUCCAGCUACCUGUGUGAGUUGUUGAGAAUGAAUAACAUUGCAGGUAAGUGGAAGUCAGAUGGCCAAAAUGUUUGGCUAAGGGCUUGUAUUAUUUUCAUUGCUGCAAAUAGCAUUUACUCAAUGAAGGGACAGACAGUUAAUUAAUGAAUAAAGUGCACUUUGCAAUGAAA